GGGCAAUUAGCUCAGAUGGUUAGAGCGCUUCGUUUACACCGAAGAGGUCGGGGGUUCAAAUCCCUCAUUGCCCA
rnacentral:tRNA from 1 species